GCCUAAGGUAUGCAAGUCGAAUGCCGAUUAUCGGCAUGGCAGACGGCUGAGUAAUACAUGGGAAUCUACCUCAAACUCGAGAAUAGCCCAUCGAAAGGUGGUGUAAUACUCGAUAGUUCCGUUUACGGUAAAGCUCCGGCGGUUUGAGAUGAGCCCAUGUCCUAUCAGGUUGUUGGUGGGGUAAUUGCCUACCAAGCCUAUGACGGGUAGCUGGUUUGAGAGGAUGAUCAGCCAGACUGGGACUGCGAUACGGCCCAGACUCCUACGGGAGGCAGCAACUAGGAAUCAUGCGCAAUGGACGAAAGUCUGACGCUGCGACGUCGCGUGAGGGAUGAAGGUCUUCGGAUCGUAAACCUCUUUUAUCUGGGAACAAGUUCUGAGUGUACCAGAUGAAUAAGUGCCUGCCAACCACGUGCCAGAAGCAUCGGUAAUGCGUGGGGCACGAGCGUUAUCCGGAUUUACUGGGCGUAAAGAGAUGCGUAGGCGCCUUUUUAAGUCACUUGUAAAAUCUCCCCGCUCAACGGGGAAACUGCAAGUGAUACUGAAUUGGUUGAGUCAAGUAGAGGAGAGGGGGAUUCCUGGUGGAGCGGUUAAAUGCGUUGAUAUCAGGAGGAAUACCAAGUGCGAAGGCACCUCUCUGGACUUGUACUGACGCUAAGGCUCGAAAGUGUGGGGAGCAAAACGGAUUAGAUACCCGUGUAGUCCACACUGUAAACGAUCCCUGCUAG
rnacentral:rRNA from 1 species